AUCUUGAAGCAUAGGGACCUUAACCCAGGGCAUUAAAUGACCUGUAACACGAGAAGCAUAGGCAUCGGCAUCUAAGAAUUCGAAUUUGUAACCAUGGCGUUCAGCAUAUUCACGACGAUUUUUGAUAAUGGACUGAGCGAAAGGAUGGAGAGGAGAGUUAGCAUCAUUUUGAAAGUUAGAGCCCAUCAAAAUGACGAUUUUAGAGUUAUCCGGAUGAGGAUCAGUGGUAGCUAAAGCAUGAACUACAGAAGUGACAGUUGGAGU